rnacentral:rRNA from 1 species
UAGGGAAUAUUGGACAAUGGGGGCAACCCUGAUCCAGCCAUGCCGCGUGAGUGAAGAAGGCCCUCGGGUUGUAAAGCUCUUUUGUCCGGAAAGAAAAGCUUCGGGUUAAUACCCCGGGGUUCUGACGGUACCGGAAGAAUAAGCACCGGCUAACUUCGUGCCAGCAGCCGCGGUAAUACGGAGGGUGCAAGCGUUACUCGGAAUUACUGGGCGUAAAGCGUGCGUAGGUGGUUGUUUAAGUCUGAUGUGAAAGCCCUGGGCUCAACCUGGGAAUGGCAUUGGAAACUGGGCAGCUAGAGUGCGGUAGAGGGUAGUGGAAUUCCCGGUGUAGCAGUGAAAUGCGUAGAGAUCGGGAGGAACAUCUGUGGCGAAGGCGACUGCCUGGACCAGCACUGACACUGAGGCACGAAAGCGUGGGGAGCAAACA